AAUGAGAGUUUGAUCCUGGCUCAGGACGAACGCUGGCGGCGUGCCUAAUACAUGCAAGUAGAACGCUGAGGUUUGGUGUUUACACUAGACUGAUGAGUUGCGAACGGGUGAGUAACGCGUAGGUAACCUGCCUCAUAGCGGGGGAUAACUAUUGGAAACGAUAGCUAAUACCGCAUAAGAGUAAUUAACACAUGUUAGUUAUUUAAAAGGAGCAAUUGCUUCACUGUGAGAUGGACCUGCGUUGUAUUAGCUAGUUGGUGAGGUAAAGGCUCACCAAGGCGACGAUACAUAGCCGACCUGAGAGGGUGAUCGGCCACACUGGGACUGAGACACGGCCCAGACUCCUACGGGAGGCAGCAGUAGGGAAUCUUCGGCAAUGGACGGAAGUCUGACCGAGCAACGCCGCGUGAGUGAAGAAGGUUUUCGGAUCGUAAAGCUCUGUUGUUAGAGAAGAACGUUGGUAGGAGUGGAAAAUCUACCAAGUGACGGUAACUAACCAGAAAGGGACGGCUAACUACGUGCCAGCAGCCGCGGUAAUACGUAGGUCCCGAGCGUUGUCCGGAUUUAUUGGGCGUAAAGCGAGCGCAGGCGGUUCUUUAAGUCUGAAGUUAAAGGCAGUGGCUUAACCAUUGUACGCUUUGGAAACUGGAGGACUUGAGUGCAGAAGGGGAGAGUGGAAUUCCAUGUGUAGCGGUGAAAUGCGUAGAUAUAUGGAGGAACACCGGUGGCGAAAGC
rnacentral:rRNA from 1 species